UUGCUGGUGCCGCUUCCCGAGCAUUCUGGAGAUGGCAACACAAGUACUGGCAGCCAAAGCGCGCUGGUAUUGCGCCAUACUUCCAGGCGAUCGUUGGCUCGAUGAUCUUCUUCUACACCAUCAACUACGGAAAGAUGA
rnacentral:lncRNA from 1 species